rnacentral:rRNA from 1 species
ACUCAAUAGAUACCCAGGUAGUCCACGCCGUAAACGAUGAUGACUAGCUGUCUGGGCGCUUAGCGUUCAGGUGGCGCAGCUAACGCGUUAAGUCAUCCGCCUGGGGAGUACGGCCGCAAGGUUAAAACUCAAAGAAAUUGACGGGGGCCUGCACAAGCGGUGGAGCAUGUGGUUUAAUUCGAAGCAACGCGCAGAACCUUACCAGCGUUUGACAUGGUAGGACGGUUUCCAGAGAUGGAUUCCUUCCCUUACGGGACCUACGACACAGGUGCUGCGUGGCUGUCGUCAGCUCGUGUCGUGAGAUGUU